UGCCUAAUACAUGCAAGUCGAACGCUUCUUUCCUCCCGAGUGCUUGCACUCAACUGGAAAGAGGAGUGGCGGACGGGUGAGUAACACGUGGGUAACCUACCCAUCAGAGGGGGAUAACACUUGGAAACAGGUGCUAAUACCGCAUAACAGUUUAUGCCGCAUGGCAUAAGAGUGAAAGGCGCUUUCGGGUGUCGCUGAUGGAUGGACCCGCGGUGCAUUAGCCAGUUGGUGAGGUAACGGCUCACCAAGGCCACGAUGCAUAGCCGACCUGAGAGGGUGAUCGGCCACACUGGGACUGAGACACGGCCCAGACUCCUACGGGAGGCAGCAGUAGGGAAUCUUCGGCAAUGGACGAAAGUCUGACCGAGCAACGCCGCGUGAGUGAAGAAGGUUUUCGGAUCGUAAAACUCUGUUGCUAGAGAAGAACAAGGACGUUAGUAACUGAACGUCCCCUGACGGUAUCUAACCAGAAAGCCACGGCUAACUACGUGCCAGCAGCCGCGGUAAUACGUAGGUGGCAAGCGUUGUCCGGAUUUAUUGGGCGUAAAGCGAGCGCAGGCGGUUUCUUAAGUCUGAUGUGAAAGCCCCCGGCUCAACCGGGGAGGGUCAUUGGAAACUGGGAGACUUGAGUGCAGAAGAGGAGAGUGGAAUUCCAUGUGUAGCGGUGAAAUGCGUAGAUAUAUGGAGGAACACCAGUGGCGAAGG
rnacentral:rRNA from 1 species